rnacentral:rRNA from 1 species
UUUCAGGUCUGACCUGCCCAAUGAGGAUUUUAAAUGGCCGCAGUAUUUUGACUGUGCAAAGGUAGCAUAAUCAUUAGUUUUUUAAUUAAGAACUGGAAUGAAAGGUUUGAUGAGAAAAUUUCUGUCUCUAAGGUAAUUUAUUAGAAUUUUAUUUUUAAGUUAAAAAGCUUAAAUGUUCAUGGAAGACGAGAAGACCCUAUAGAGUUUUAUAUUUAUAAAAUAUUAAAUAUUUUAGAAAGAAAGUUUUUAGUAGUUUAUAAGUAUUUUGUUGGGGUGAUAAAAAAAUUUGGUUAACUUUUUUGAAAAUUGAAACACUAAUAUGUGAUAAAAUGAUCCUAAGUUUUAGAUUAAAAGAUUAAAUUACCUUAGGGAUAACAGCGUAAUUUUUUAAAGAGUUCUUAUCAGAAAAAAAGGUUGCGACCUCGAUGUUGGAUUAAAAUUUAUAUUUGGUGCAGAAGCUGAAUGGUUAGGUCUGUUCGACCUUUAAAAUUUUACAUGAUCUGAGUUUAAACCGGCGUGAG